rnacentral:lncRNA from 1 species
GAUGGACAGGAGCAAGGUUGGCUCAGUUACUCCAAGAGGCUGCUCUUGUGGCAGUGCGAAAAAAUCACAAUGCUAUUAUGCAGCCAGACCUUGAUGAAGCAGUUGACAGGCUUACAGUCGGACCAAAGCGUGUUGCAAUAGAGUUGGGUCAUCAGGGGCAAUGUCGUCGAGCCACAACUGAAGUAGGGACUGCAUUGACUUCUCAUCUGCUAAGGCAACUUGAAAAUGCUAAUGUGGAAUCCUGUGACCGUAUAUCAAUCAAUCCUCGUGGCCAGGUCUUCUUUUCCAUCUUUAUCACAUUCUCCAUUUUUUUUUCUCACACAAAUCUACUGAGAUUCUUUUCCGCCUUACUGACUUGGUAUGGACGUAUGGUAAGGUGUAACUCAUGACAUUAACAUUGCUCAAGAGUCGAGGCAGUUGUUAGAUUGUGGAAGUAGUAGGCCUGCAAUUAGGAUAAGUAUAUAGGAGUAUAUAGUAAUAAAGUAUAUUAACAUGUGCAUGAGAUGAUAUGCUUAAUGUUUAUUUAUUGUUUUAAUGAUGAACAAUUAUGGAUGCAGACGUUGUCUCAAGUUGUAUUUAAUAGACUUGAUGAUGAGUCGUAUAUUUUCGAGCGUCGGCCUCAACUACUUCACCGCCUUCAGGUGUGACUUAAUAUACCGACUUUUGAAUUUUCUGAUCUGGGUAGAUCCCUUCUUUAUUUGGAAUUUCUUAAAUUCUGUUGAGUUCAUUGAUAAUGAAGGUUUUACUUGGAGGGAGAGCUGCAGAAGAGAUAAUUUUUGGCCGGGAUACAUCAAAGGCAUCAGUUAACUACCUUGCUGAUGCAUCAUGGCUUGCUCGAAAGAUUAUAACAAUGUAGGUAUUCCUUGAUCUAACAGCUUAAUUUAGGCUUUUUAUUCUUUUUAGGAAUUUGUAUUAUUUUUUUGUUUUUCUUAAUUCAGUUGGAAUUUGGAAAAUCCAUUGGUAAUACACGGAGAACCUCCUCCUUGGAGAAAGAAAGUCAAAUUUGUGGGGCCUCGUCUUGACUUUGAAGGUUCAUUAUAUGAUGAUUACGACCUGAUUGAGCCACCAAUCAACUUCAACUUGGAUGAUGAAGUUGCGCAAAGAACAGAACAAUUGAUGCGUGACAUGUAUGAUAAGACUGUUGCUUUAUUGAGGGAGCAUAAUGCCGCUUUACUAAAAACUGUUAAGGUAUGCUUGUUAAUUUUAAAUUUUAAUUAAAAAGAUCUUGUUGCCCCCUACUUACAAGUUUCAUCAUCCCUUAUCCUUUUCAAUUAAUGUUUUACACCUGUCUUUAUCUAUUUGACUAAUCAUUCGAUUUNGAAAUUUUUUGAUUCUAAUUAUUUAUAUAUAUAUAUAUAUAUAUAUAUAUAUAUAUUAAUUGUUGGUGGUUUACUAGAUUCCGUUUACCCAUAUAUAUGUCUUGAUAACUACAACAGGAAUUUUUUUCCCCAUAAGUGCAGUUUAUGUUUACAGUUGGCUAAUAAUUCUUGUCAUUUCAUUUUCUAAUAUAAAGAAUUCUUUGAUAGGAUGGACAGGAGCAAGGUUGGCUCAGUUACUCCAAGAGGCUGCUCUUGUGGCAGUGCGAAAAAAUCACAAUGCUAUUAUGCAGCCAGACCUUGAUGAAGCAGUUGACAGGCUUACAGUCGGACCAAAGCGUGUUGCAAUAGAGUUGGGUCAUCAGGGGCAAUGUCGUCGAGCCACAACUGAAGUAGGGACUGCAUUGACUUCUCAUCUGCUAAGGCAACUUGAAAAUGCUAAUGUGGAAUCCUGUGACCGUAUAUCAAUCAAUCCUCGUGGCCAGGUCUUCUUUUCCAUCUUUAUCACAUUCUCCAUUUUUUUUUCUCACACAAAUCUACUGAGAUUCUUUUCCGCCUUACUGACUUGGUAUGGACGUAUGGUAAGGUGUAACUCAUGACAUUAACAUUGCUCAAGAGUCGAGGCAGUUGUUAGAUUGUGGAAGUAGUAGGCCUGCAAUUAGGAUAAGUAUAUAGGAGUAUAUAGUAAUAAAGUAUAUUAACA